UACCUUACUACAUGGAUACCUGUGGUAAUUCUAGAGCUAAUACAUGCUAAAAACCCCGACUUCAGGAAGGGGUGUAUUUAUUAGAUAAGAAACCAACGCCCUUCGGGGCUCCUUGGUGAAUCAUAAUAACUUAACGAAUCGCAUGGCCUUGCGCCGGCGAUGGUUCAUUCAAAUUUCUGCCCUAUCAACUUUCGAUGGUAGGAUAGUGGCCUACCAUGGUGGCAACGGGUAACGGGGAAUUAGGGUUCGAUUCCGGAGAGGGAGCCUGAGAAACGGCUACCACAUCCAAGGAAGGCAGCAGGCGCGCAAAUUACCCAAUCCCGAUACGGGGAGGUAGUGACAAUAAAUACUGAUACGGGGCUCUUUUGGGUCUCGUAAUUGGAAUGAGAACAAUUUAAAUCCCUUAACGAGGAACAAUUGGAGGGCAAGUCUGGUGCCAGCAGCCGCGGUAAUUCCAGCUCCAAUAGCGUAUAUUAAAGUUGUUGCAGUUAAAAAGCUCGUAGUUGAACCUUGGGUCUGGCUGGCCGGUCCGCCUCACCGCGAGUACUGGUCCGGCUGGACCUUUCCUUCUGGGGAACCUCAUGGCCUUCACUGGCUGUGGGGGGAACCAGGACUUUUACUGUGAAAAAAUUAGAGUGUUCAAAGCAGGCCUUUGCUCGAAUACAUUAGCAUGGAAUAAUAGAAUAGGACGUGUGGUUCUAUUUUGUUGGUUUCUAGGACCGCCGUAAUGAUUAAUAGGGAUAGUCGGGGGCGUCAGUAUUCAGCUGUCAGAGGUGAAAUUCUUGGAUUUGCUGAAGACUAACUACUGCGAAAGCAUUCGCCAAGGAUGUUUUCAUUAAUCAGGGAACGAAAGUUAGGGGAUCGAAGACGAUCAGAUACC
rnacentral:rRNA from 1 species